rnacentral:rRNA from 1 species
UGCAAGUCGAACGGCAGCACAGGAGAGCUUGCUCUCUGGGUGGCGAGUGGCGGACGGGUGAGGAAUACAUCGGAAUCUACUUUUUCGUGGGGGAUAACGUAGGGAAACUUACGCUAAUACCGCAUACGACCUACGGGUGAAAGCAGGGGAUCUUCGGACCUUGCGCGAUUGAAUGAGCCGAUGUCGGAUUAGCUAGUUGGCGGGGUAAAGGCCCACCAAGGCGACGAUCCGUAGCUGGUCUGAGAGGAUGAUCAGCCACACUGGAACUGAGACACGGUCCAGACUCCUACGGGAGGCAGCAGUGGGGAAUAUUGGACAAUGGGCGCAAGCCUGAUCCAGCCAUACCGCGUGGGUGAAGAAGGCCUUCGGGUUGUAAAGCCCUUUUGUUGGGAAAGAAAUCCAGCUGGCUAAUACCCGGUUGGGAUGACGGUACCCAAAGAAUAAGCACCGGCUAACUUCGUGCCAGCA